UCAAGCUACUAAGGGCAUACGGUGGAUGCCUUGGCGUCAGGAGGCGAUGAAAGGCGUGGCUAGCUGCGAUAAGCGUCGGGGAGCCGCUAAGCAGGCUUUGAUCCGGCGAUUUCUGAAUGGGGAAACCCAUCCCGGGUAAUUCCGGGAUAUCCCGUCAUGAAUACAUAGUGGCGGGAGGCGAACGAGGGGAACUGAAACAUCUCAGUAUCCUCAGGAGAAGAAAGCAAAAGCGAUCCCCCUAGUAGUGGCGAGCGAACGGGGAACAGCCUAAACCGGGUAUAUGGAUAGUCCGUGAGCGUUGUAUAUCCGGGGUAAUGGGAUUCCGCCGGAGGAGGUUACGGACUCCUCGGGAAGUUACAAAUCUCACUUAUAGCCGAAUACUCUGGAAAGGGUAGCCAAAGGGGGUGAUAGCCCCGUAGGCGAAAUAGGUGAGACUUCUUGGACGGAAUUCCCGAGUACUACGGGACACGUGAAAUCCUGUGGGAAUUUGGGAGGACCAUCUCUUAAGGCUAAAUACUACCUGACGACCGAUAGUGAACCAGUACCGUGAGGGAAAGGUGAAAAGUACCCCCGGCGGGGAGUGAAAUAGUACCUGAAACCGUAUGCUUACAAGCAGUGGGAGCUCCAUGUACGUCUCUUCGGGGACGUGCGGAGUGACCGCGUACCUUUCGCAUAAUGGGUCAGCGAGUUACUCUGUGUAGCGAGGUUAAGCCGUUAGGCGAAGCCGUAGCGAAAGCGAGUCUGAAUAGGGCGUCUAGUUGCACGGAGUAGACCCGAAGCCAGGUGAUCUAUCCAUGGCCAGGGUGAAGCCUCGGUAACACGAGGUGGAGGCCCGAACCGACCGAGGUUGAAAACUCGGCGGAUGAGCUGUGGAUAGGGGUGAAAGGCCAAUCAAACCUGGAAAUAGCUGGUUCUCCCCGAAAUAUAUUGAGGUAUAGCCUCGCAAAGUAAGUGUCGGAGGUAGAGCACUGGAUGGGCUAGGGCCCUCACCAGGGUAUCAAACCCAACCAAACUUCGAAUGCCGGCAACUGUUAUUGCGGGAGUCAGACUGUGGGCGAUAAGGUUCAUGGUCAAAAGGGAAAGAACCCAGACCGCCAGCUAAGGUCCCUAAAAUGCACUAAGUGGUAAAGGAUGUGGAGUUGCACAGACAUCCAGGAAGUUGGCUUAGAAGCAGCCAUCCUUUAAAGAAAGCGUAAUAGCUCACUGGUCUAGUGACUCUGCGCCGAAAAUGUAACGGGGCUCAAGUGCAUUACCGAAGCUGCGGGUUGUUCGCUUCUUCGGAAGCGGGCAGCGGUAGGGGAGCAUUCCAGAAGCCUGCGAAGCCAGACCGCAAGGACUGGUGGAGGUAAUGGAAGUGAAUAUGCUGACAUGAGUAGCGAUAAUGCCGGCGAGAAACCGGCACGCCGUAAGCCUAAGGUUUCCUGGGGAAGGGUAAUCCGCCCAGGGUUAGUCGGUCCCUAAGCCGAGGCCGAAAGGCGUAGGUAAUGGGAAACGGGUUAAUAUUCCCGUACCACCGGCUCGGUGUUUGAGCGAUGGGGGGACGCAGGAAGGUAGAUCAUCCACCUACUGGAAUAGGUGGUUCAAGCCCGUAGGGGGAGGUCCCAGGCAAAUCCGGGAUCUCAUAAACCCUGAGAGGUGAUGACGAGGCCCUUAAAAGCCAUAAAGUGGUUGAUCCUACACUGCCAAGAAAAGCCUCUAGCGAAUCGAUCUGGUGACCGUACCGCAAACCGACUCAGGUAGGCGAGGAGAGAAUCCUCAGGCGCGUGAGAGACCCCUGGUUAAGGAACUCGGCAAUCUGGCACCGUAACUUCGGAAGAAGGUGUGCCCCGAUUGGUGAAGAGACUUGCUCUCUGAGCUGGGCGGGGUCGCAGUGACCAGGCCCAGGCGACUGUUUACUAAAAACACAGGACUCUGCAAACUUGCAAGAGGAAGUAUAGGGUCUGACGCCUGCCCGGUGCCGGAAGGUUAAGGAGAGGGGUUAUUCCGCUUCGGCGGGAGAAGCUCUGAACCGAAGCCCCGGUAAACGGCGGCCGUAACUAUAACGGUCCUAAGGUAGCGAAAUUCCUUGUCGGGUAAGUUCCGACCUGCACGAAUGGNGUAACGANUNNNNCANNGNCUCAGCGAAAUUGAACUAGCGGUGAAGAUGCCGUUUACCCGCGGCAAGACGGAAAGACCCCGUGCACCUUUACUAUACCUUGACAGUGAAUUCGGGGUUAGCUUGUGUAGGAUAGGUGGGAGGCUUUGAAGUGUGGGCGCCAGCUCACAUGGAGCCAACCUUGAAAUACCACCCUGGCUGUCUCUGGUUUCUAACCCGGUCCCGUUAUCCGGGACGGGGACACUGUCUGGCGGGUAGUUUGACUGGGGCGGUCGCCUCCCAAAAGGUAACGGAGGCGCGCAAUGGUUCCCUCAGGCUGAUUGGAAACCAGCUGUGGAGUGUAAAGGCACAAGGGAGCCUGACUGCGAGACCAACAAGUCGCCUGACUGCGAGACAAACAAGUCGAGCAGGGACGAAAGUCGGCCUUAGUGAUCCGGCGGUUCCGCAUGGAAGGGCCGUCGCUCAACGGAUAAAAGGUACNCCGGGGAUAACAGGCUUAUCUCCCCCAAGAGUUCACAUCGACGGGGAGGUUUGGCACCUCGAUGUCGGCUCAUCGCAUCCUGGGGCUGNAGAAGGUCCCAAGGGUUCGGCUGUUCGCCGAUUAAUAGCGGUACGCGAGCUGGGUUUAGAACGUCGUGAGACAGUUCGGUCCCUAUCUGCCGCGGGCGCAGGAUAUUUGAGGGGAGCUGUCCCUAGUACGAGAGGACCGGGAUGGACGAACCUCUGGUGUACCAGUUGUGGCGCCAGCCGCACCGCUGGGUAGCCAAGUUCGGAAGGGAUAACCGCUGAAGGCAUAUAAGCGGGAAGCCCCCCCCAAGAUGAGAUAUCCCUCCCUGAUGGCAACAUCAGGGGUAAGACCCCAGGGAGACCACCUGGUUGAUAGGCCGGAUGUGUAAGUCCAGUAAUGGACGCAGCUAACCGGUACUAAUCGGUCGAGCGGCUUGAUCUA
rnacentral:rRNA from 1 species